CAGUAAUUGAAACGAAAGUUGUAUGUUGUUAAUAUAGUUUUGAUAUGAUUUUAAAUCUUUUUACUAGACAUGUUAAUAGUAUUUAAUCUCUGUCUUGCAUAAAAUUCUUUAUUUUGUGUUAUUAUAGGUCACUGUUUACUAAUAGGAGGAAAAUCAUAUAAAUCCUUAUCAUUGAUUGAUUGAUUGUUGGUUGCUUUACGCCGCAUUAGCACAAAAAGGCUAUAUCGCGGCGAUAUAAAUCCUUAUCAAAAUACAUUCUAUUUAAGUAAGUUCAGACAGUCGUCUUGCAGCACUGCUUACAUUACACUUAUCAGCUUUUAAUGCAAUUUCAAGGAAACAUUGUCUUGCUAAGCUUUGUUUACCCAUCAUUUGGAAAACUUUACCAAGACAAAUAAGUGACAAAAAUACAUCAUAUGGAUUUAGUUUUCUAUUACUUAGAUGCAUUAAAAUUGUUUGGUGUAACUGUAUUGAAGAUUGAUUGCAUGCUGUCAUUUCAUGUAAAUGGUAGUAACACAGACAACUUAAGAAAUGUGCAAAUGCUAGAGGAUGAAAAAAACAAACGUUUUCAUAAACAUUAAGUUUUAGUUCUUGUGGAAAAAUUGACGUUCUUUUAUAAAAUCUAAGAAACUUUAUUGUCAUUGUUUUU
rnacentral:lncRNA from 1 species